GCGUCGUCGUCGUCGUCGUCGGCGUCCGAAUACUUUUAGUUUUCGCACUCUAACUUUAGUAAAAGUGAAUAGAAAUCUAUGAAAUUUUAACACAAGGUUGAUGACCAUAAAAGGAAGGUUGGUAUUGAUUUUGGGAGUUUUGGUCCCAACAUUUUAGGAAUUAGGGGCCAAAAAGGGCCCAAAUAAGCAUUUUCUUGUUUUUCGCACUAUAACUUUAGUUUAAGUUAAUAGAAAUCUAUGAAAUUUUGACACAAGGUUGAUGACCACAAAAGAAAGGUUGGGAUUGAUUUUGGGAGUUUUGGUUUCAACAGUUUAGGAAUUAGGGGCCAAAAAAGGGCCCAAAUAAGCAUUAUUCUUGGUUUUCGCACAAUAACUUUAGUUUAAGUAAAUAGAAAUCAAUGAAAUUUAAACACAAUGUUUAUGACCACAAAAGGAAGAUUGGUAUUGAUUUUGGGAGUUUAGGUCCCAACAGUUUAGGAAUAAGGGGCCAAAAAGUGACCCAAAUAAGCAUCUUUCUUGGUUUUCGCACCAUAACGUUAGUAUAAGUAAAUAGAAAUCUAUGAAAUUUAAUCACAAGGUUAAUGACCAUAAAAGGAAGGUUGGUAUUGAUUUUUGGGAGUUUUGGCCCCAACAGUUUUAGGAAAAGGGGCCCAAAGGGUUCAAAAUUAAACUUUGUUUGAUUUCAUCAAAAUUGAAUAAUUGGGGUUCUUUGAUAUGCCGAAUCUAACUGUGUAUGUAGAUUCUUCAUUUUUGGUCCCGUUUUCAAAUUGGCCUACAUUAAGGUCCAAAGGGUCCAAAAUUAAACUAAGUUUGAUUUUAACAAAAAUUGAAUUCUUGGGCCUCUUUGAUAUGCUGAAUCUAAACAUGUACUUAGAAUUUUGAUUAUGGGCCCAGUUUUCAAGUUGGUCCAAAUCAGGAUCUAAAAUUAUUAUAUUACGUAUUGUGCAAUAGCAAGUCUUUUCAAUUGCACAGUAUUGUGCAAUGGCAAGAAAUAUCUAAUUGCACAAUAUUGUGA
rnacentral:lncRNA from 1 species